rnacentral:misc_RNA from 1 species
UUGAGUGUAAAAACUCCCAAACCCAUUGUGAACAUACCAAUUGUUGCUUCGGCGGCCUUCGCCCCGGGCGCGUCACGGCGUGCCCCGGAACCAGGCGACCGCCGGGGGACCCUAAACUCUCGUUUUCUUUAGUGGAUUAUCUGAGUGGAUUUACGAAUCAAAUCA